AUUUUGUUGCUACUGUUUUCUGCGUGUCAAGUAUUUAUUCCUAUGACCAUGAGAUCAUAUAACUCACUGACACCGGAGGAAUGCUUUGUGUGUAUCAAACGUCGCAACGUAACUGGGUGACUAUAAAGAUGCUCUACAGGUAUCUCCGAAGGUGAUAGUUGAGUUAGUAUGGAUCAAGAUUGGGAUUUGUCACUCCGUGUGACGGAGAGGUAUCUCGGGGCCCACUC
rnacentral:lncRNA from 1 species